GCCGCGGCCGGAAGCCCACGCGGGGGGUUGCAGGGACGGGUCGUAAGGGGCGGGGCGGGCCUCGAGGAGGCGGCGGUGGGGUCCCCGGACCUCCGCGCGUGGCACAGCCCGCAUCCUGAACUGACUCCCACUCGAGGACCACCUCUCCUCUCCCUUCUGAGGGCGGAACGGAAAGGCCAAGCGCCUCCUCGCCUCGGGAGCUGCAGGACGCCCUAAUUCAGCCGAGUCGCCGCGUGCCCGGGUGCCCGCGAACAGCAGGAGAGAGGACGGGCGCUGGCCCCACAGGGGUCGCUUUACCCCUUGAAGAGCUCCUCGCUGCCUGCCCUGGGGGUGGUGGGCGUCCAGGUUCACAGGGUACUUGAGCUUGCUGGGGUGGGGGUGUGUAUGAAGUGCGUCCAGGGUUUUGUGGAGCGCGUCUAGCAGUUGCUCUACUUCUUACUGACAGUGAAACAAGGGCGCCCACGACAGGUGUUCCCUUUUCGCUGUCGCUGCCAGGAAGCUUCCAGCCAGGUUCAGCGCCCAGUGGUGUCAGCCGGCCCAUCUCGAGCCUUGGUUCCGCUGUCAUCUUCUGGUGCUUAUUCUGGUGUUUAUCCAACUGUCCGUUUUGAAAUUAUGUUCCCAAGCCAUUUAACACCUCUGGAGAACCAAAGCACUGGCUGUCAGCGGAGCGGGAUGCACGCGCAGCGGAGGGGACUGGGCACGCCAACCCCACGAGGGUUCCUGCGGAGAUGACACGGACCUUGAGGUCUGAAGCCAAAGGACGAUUUGUGUGAAGGGAUUUUAUUGUUAGCUUUGGAGCCAGCAACAAGAACACAGCCCUGGAGUUCCCGGGGCAAAAAGGAUACCAAGAUAAUAAUUCAGAGUUAGCAUUAACAUUAUUAGCUGCCAGGCCAACAAAACCUUGAGUAAUCCUGCAAUACUCGGAAUCAAGAAAAGUGGCUACAUCAUGGUCAACUUUGAAGAACAUCAGCCUCAAGAUCUUUUAUACUAACUCAUAUGUUUAUUAAAAUCUAUUACUAAAACAGAUUUUUAAAAAUUA
rnacentral:lncRNA from 1 species